CAUGCCGCGUGUGUGAAAAGGCCUUCGGGUUGUAAAGCACUUUUGUCCGGGAAGAAAUCCCCUGUGUUAAUACCACGGGGGGAUGACGGUACCGGAAGAAUAAGCACCGGCUAACUACGUGCCAGCAGCCGCGGUAAUACGUAGGGUGCGAGCGUUAAUCGGAAUUACUGGGCGUAAAGCGUGCGCAGGCGGUGCUGUAAGACCGAUGUGAAAUCCCCGGGCUUAACCUGGGAACUGCAUUGGUGACUGCAGCGCUGGAGUAUGGCAGAGGGGGGUGGAAUUCCACGUGUAGCAGUGAAAUGCGUAGAGAUGUGGAGGAACACCGAUGGCGAAGGCAGCCCCCUGGGCCAAUACUGACGCUCAUGCACGAAAGCGUGGGGAGCAAACA
rnacentral:rRNA from 1 species